rnacentral:antisense_RNA from 1 species
CAUGGAAGUCUCCAAGCCUGUGCCAUCCACCUGCCAAGGAAAAGCACAAGCAUACAGUUUGAACAUUUAUUCGCCUCCUGAGCUUGUACAACAGUCGUGGGAGUUGCUGCAGAAGCAAGCGAAAAGCCAGAUGAGCGCUUCUAAACUUAGAGAGAGGGAGAGCGCCUCAUCUCUUCCAUUUUCCAGGUAUUCCUGAGAUGAUUUAUUGGAGCUCAAAGCUUUGGGCAAAUGCGGGGUGGCUGAUCACCUGGCAGACAUCUUAGGAAACAGGAGCACCGGUCUGGGAAACUGCUGGCCUGGCCUAACACCUGGCGCUGUGGUGCAGGAGGGCAGCCACUGAGGAUUCUUGAGGAGAGAGAGACCAUAGAAUGAAUGAAAGAGUUGGAAAGACUUUAAAGCUCUGGGAGGCUGAAUCCUUUAUUUCGCUGGAAGAAAAACUGAAUGCCAAGAGGGCCUCACUUUCCCCAAAGCUAUACAGCCAUCAGGGGCAAUGCUGGGAUUCCCCCAUGGAUCUCUUGACUCCUAAUACAGUGCUCUUUCUGAUAUGCCAUCUGGCUCCAUAAUGAACAUUGUGUUCCAGGAAAAUCAGUCUGCGCUGAACAGGAUGGAAUUGGGGCAGGACGUCCAGUGAGGAGGACAUUGAGGCAGUAGAGCAG